rnacentral:tRNA from 1 species
AGAGACUUAAGUUAAAAGACUAAAAGCCUUCAAAGCUUUAAGCGGAAGUGAAAGUCUUCCAGCCUCUA